GUUGCUGGUUGUGCAGUGUGAUGGAGGUUGUGUGUUGCUGGUUGUGCAGUGUGAUGGAGGUUGUGUGUUGCUGGUUGUACAGUCUGAUGGAGGUUGUGUUGCUGGUUGUACAGUCUGAUGGAGGUUGUGUUGCUGGUUGUACAGUCUGAUGGAGGUUGUGUUGCUGGUUGUACUCUCUGAUGGAGGUUGUUGGGGUUGUGUUGCUGGUUGUACAGUCUGAUGGAGGUUGUGUGUUGCUGGUUGUACAGUCUGAUGGAGGUUGU
ensembl:lncRNA